GGGGAUGACCGGAAUUGACAGCUUGCGCAAAUUGCGGGUAAGCGUGCCAGGAGUUGAUGGAAGCUCUCCUGUCAAAAAAUCUAUCAAACAACAACUGGCGACUAUUCGUACGCCAUGGCUGCCUAGUUCAGAAUUAGGUAAUUGCCAUCGUUCCGCCCGGGUAAGUUUCUACACCUGGGAGUUCGGAGCGUCGUAAGUAGAAAAUAGCCUUCGAGGAACUGUGACUCGGGGGCGAAACCCAACUGCAGCUAGGGGCGGUGCAAAGGCCUGAUGUGCGCCUGUACCGCCAUGAAAAUCCAAGCAUAGAUACGCACGUAGAAAGCACGUCGAUUUCCUUGUCUGGACCAGGGUUCGAAUCCCUGCAUCUCCACUU
rfam:Hymenobacter sedentarius strain DG5B chromosome, complete genome.